UUCACACUAUCCACCUCACUAUGCUUCCGCCGUGAAACACCGCGCCGGCUUCCGUCGCCGGCGCCAGUAGUGGCCUAACACUAAGAUAUUACCACCACUCGAUGCACCAUGAUAAGCUAAAAACGAAUAUGGGACUGGAUUUGGGAGAUGGUUCUCGGAUUUAUUGAAUCGAGCCUAAACAAUGGAAGAACCCUAGAUCUCUAAUCUUAAAUUAAAUGGAGUGCAUCACGAAUUAAUCUCUAAUACCAAAGGACUUUCACUCCCUAGCCUCAAAGCUACACUCCAGUAUGCUUAAUGUAAGAGAACGUUACAGAAGGUAGAUGGACUUACCGGAGAAGAUGAUCAGAAACUUCAAAAGGGUCUAUGUCGUGGAGCGUCGGUACCUGGAACUGCCUGAUUAUUGACAUGAUUUUCAUCUGUUCGUAGGUUGUGUUCCUGGUACGCACAUGAGCAACACGGUGUUUGUAUCCUAGAAACAUUGGUUAGGAAGUUGGCAUCCGCCGUAAUCCUGGCAGCAUCACAUACUUCACACUUGUUAUUCACAUACGUUUUCUUGGUAAGAGUUCAGAUCUGAAGCAGCUCAGGUGUAUACUCUCUUCUUACCAACCAGAACAACUCCAUACUUGGAACAACUUCAUGUUGCAAUGCCGGGUGUGUUACUUGAGAGUUUGACGAGCUGAUUGGGUUUCUGCCGGAUGUCGAAUUGUCGCUGAGUAGUAGCUAGCAGCUGGUUUGAUGCCGAACUGCAGUAAAUUGGAUAGAAGCUGGACUGGCCAAACUGGAGUAAGCUUUGAUGUUGAAUUCUUGGUGUUGGCGCUGCGACCGAUGUCGGGAAUUGCCCAAAAUCGGCUGGCACAUGAACCAAGUUAUGGUUGCAGAAGCAAAUCUCUGCAAUACCAAUCUGACUUCCGUAAUAAGAUGUCCUCACCUAUCCAUCGUUGUCCUGAACUACCGUGGCAUCGAGAAAUUAAGUCCAGGAGAUGGUUCACAGGGAAGUUGACAUACCGUGGUAAUGGUCAUGACAUUAAGCGACUCUCAACGUUGAAGUAAUAUGUCGGGGUUCACAGUUUAGCCUAUUCUACAGUAUUGCUUCUCCAUCAUCAAAAGAGAAUGCCGUUUUUCAUUAUAUGCUCCAAAUACAUGGCUUAAACUCCAUCAUUCCAAAUGUAAUAUUCCAUUAUUUUAGAAUAUACUACAUGAGUCCCAGCGGUCAAAACUUAGGAUUAAUAGUACCUUUUGGUUGGUGCUUUGUUCUCUUUCUAUUGCAACUUUGGAACAUGGUAUCUUGGCUCGCAGCUCGGCUUAGUUUUGAUGUCGGCAUUUUCAGCUUGCGUUCAGUUUAGGAUGUCCAUAACACGCACAACUGCUCUUCCUUUCUUUUCUUUGUUUUCUUUUGAGAAUCCGUUUUAGUGGAAGGUAAUGCAACAAUGUCUGAAA